rnacentral:rRNA from 1 species
AGGCGGAGCAAAACACAAAACACAGUCUCAGUUCAGAUUGUAGGCUGAAACUCGCCUAUAUGAAGUCGGAAUUGCUAGUAAUCGCGGAUCAGCAUGCCGCGGUGAAUACGUUCCCGGGCCUUGUACACACCGCCCGUCACACCAUGAGAGUCGAUAACACCCGAAGCCUGUAGUCUAACAGCAAUGAGGACGCAGUCGAAGGUGGGAUUGAUAAUUAGGGUGAAGUCGUAACAAGGUAGC